rnacentral:lncRNA from 10 species
AACACUGGGUGAAUGCAGAAAAUUGCAUCUAGUGACAGCAGCAUAGGAACAAAACACGAAGGCUCCCGACAACCUAGCGGCUAUCUUGGUCUCCCCUGAGUGCAUUUGGAACCUGGCCCAUUCACAUCAGUCUGUCAACUCCCAGCCCGUGGCAGGUGACCCUCCCCGUUGACAAGGCAUAAGCUGCAGCUCUGCCCACAGCCUCCCCUCUUUAAUUUUCUCUUUCCUCUCAGUCUAUCUUAUAUUUUUCUUCUUUGUUCUCUAUUCUUUUAAUCUUUUUCUCCCUCUCUUGCUUCCUUUUGUUCUCCAGGGUGGCCGGUGUGGGCAGCUGGUGGCUUCCAUAAACUUCAAAUCUUUUUCAAGAUCAUGCAUUCUUGCAACCGGGGAAGAAUGGCCUACAAAGCCUGAUUGGGACCACAUAUAUCCCGGAUUUCCUUGGACUGACUCAACUAUUUGUCCCAGCUCCAAGUUUCAAGAAGCCAGUCAAGAUUGUCAGGAAUUCAAAGGUGACCUUGCCAUUAUCUGAGAUUUAGUGUUUCUCAGGGUGACACUGAGGGAUGUCACCACAUUCAUAAUUAUCAUACCAAGAAGUGAUUACACUAUGGCCACAAAGUUCUUGGUAAUUUGAAAACUGUACCACAAGUAAAGGUUAACAAUGUAAAUUUGUUCUCUAAAAGUCCACCUCUGAAAAGAUGUGAGCUGACUUCAAUUUCUUAUGGAAAAGCAUCCACAACAAUGUGGGUUGAUUUGGGGAGUGCAAGUCUUAAAAAUGCAGUAAAAAUUUUUUAAUAAUUUGUUUUUUUUAACUGCCUACUUUUUCUUCUGGUGCCCACGUUCUCAUUUUGGCUUCUUGGAAUGGCUACAGAAAUGAGGUUAAAAGAAGGGCAGGGGCCAGGCGCGGUGGCUCACACCUGUAAUCCCAACACUUUGGGAGGCCGAGGCAGGCAGAUCACGAGGUUAGGAGAUUGAGACCAUCCUGGCUAACUCGGUGAAACCCCAUCUCUACUAAAAAUACCAAAAAUUAGCUGAACACGGUGGCAUGCACCUGUAGUCCCAGCUACUUGGGAGGCUAAGGCAGGAGAAUCACUUGAACCCGGGAGGCGGGGCUUGCAGUGAGCAGAGAUUGUGCCACUGCACUCCAACCUGGGCGACAGAGCGAGAUUCCAUCUCAACAACAACAACAACAAAAAUAAAAAAUAAAAAGUAAGAUGAAGGGCGAGGCAGUACAAGGGAGGGCAUUCAGUUUUCUUACAAACUUUAUCAAUGUGACAAUGAACCUUCAGCUUCCAAGCAUCGUUCUAUUAGGUAUCUGAUGGCUUUCGUCCAUUACCCUUAUUGAUUCCCUCCCACUCACAAGGUUUUCAGAAUGCUACCAAGAUAAGCACAAUCCCUGCCUUUGAACUAGGCUAGACCCAAUAUUUAUUAGCCUGAAACACUAACUAUGGUGUUAAAUAAUUUCACAGAGCCCUACUGGCAGGUCAAAUGAACUGGAAUGAGUAGAAAAAAAAGGAGGGGGUGGGAGGUAAUCAGGAAUGAUGGGAGAAAGGGUAGGGAAUAGGGGUGGAGACAUAGAAGAAGGGAGAGAGGAACAGUAGGAGAUACAUUGGUCUGAAGCCCUAAAUAAAGAAUGCAUUUAAAACAUUUUAUGAGGUUAUUUAGUAGAGACAGUAAUGUUCAUCUCAGCAGGUAAGCACCACCAAAAUCUUUCUUACUUUCUUCCUUAUUUAUUUAUUUUUUGAGAUGGAGUCUUGCUCCGUUGCCCAGGCUGGAGUGCAGUGAUGCAAUCUCAGCUUACUGCAACCUCCACCUCCCGGGCUCAAGUGAUUCUCCUGCCUCAGCCUCCUGAGUAGCUGGGACUACAGGCAUGCACCACCACUUCCGGCUAAUUUUUUUUUUGGAUUUUUAGUAGAGACAGGGUUUCACCAUGCUGGUCAGGCUGGUCUUGAACUCCUGACCUCAAAUGACCUGCCUGCCUUGGCUGUCCCAAAGUGCUGGGAUUACAGGCAUGAGCCGCCACACCCAGCCUCUUCCUUUUUAUUUUUAGUGAGGGUGGUGGGGGAUACACCAUCACUAAAUGAUAGGUUUUACAAUGAGAAUGGCUUUGUUAUACAUAAUGCAUGCCAGAAACUGCAGGUUGUUUACAAAAAUUGUUUCCUACCUUCUUUGGACACACGGCUAGACUGCACCUCCCAUCCUCCCUUAUAGGAUGUAGCCAGGUAACAAGAUUCUCAUUGGGAGUUUGAGAAAAGGGAUGUGCAUCAGUUCUGUCUGUCUCAGAAACCUUCCCCGUAUGUAUCUCCAUGUCUCCUUGCCCGUCUAGUUGACUGGGAUGGCAACCUCAGAAGCCAUGUCCUGAAGACAGCAAGGCCUCCUCAGCCUGGGUCCUUGAAUGACUGCAUGGAGGAGUGCUGCUCCUCCUCACCUGAACACUUGCAAAGGAUGGUUACAGGACAAAGAAAGAAACUUGGGUGAAGUCACUAGAUUUGGAGAUCUGUAUGUUACUGAUAUAGUUUGGAUCUGUGUCCCCGCCCAAACCUCAUAUUGAAAUGUAAUUCCCCGUGUUGGAGGUGGGGCCUGGUGGGAGGUGACUGGAUCAUGGGGGCGGAUUUCUCAGGACAGUGAGUGAGCUCUCGUAAGAUCUGGUUGAGUGUGCGGGCCCUCCCUGCGCUCUUUUUUUUUUUUUUUUUUUUUUUUUUUUGAGAUGGAGUCUCACUCUAUUGCCUAGGCUGGAGUGCAAUGGCGCUAUCUUGGCUCAUUGCAACCUCUGCCUCCCAGGUUCAACUGAUUCUCCCGCCUCAGUCUCCCCAGUAGCUGGGAUUACAGGUGCACACCACCACACUCGGCUAAUUUUUGUACUUUUAGUAGAGACAGGGUUUCACCAUGUUGGCCAGGCUGGUCUUGAACUCCUGACAUCGUGAUCCGCCCACCUCGGCCUCCCCGAGUGCUGGAUUCCAGGCGUGAGCCACUGCACCUGGCCACCACGUUCUCUCCUGACAUGUGUCAUGCCUACUCCCUGUUCGCCUUCUGCCAUGGUUGGAGGCUUCCUGAGACCUCAUCAGAAGCAGAUGCUACUGUGCUUCCUGUAAAGCCUGCAGAACCAUCAGCCAAAUACAUUUCUUUUCUUCAUAAAUUACCCAGUCUCAGGUAUUUCUUUAUAGCAACACAAGAAUGGCCUAAUAUAGUUACUGUGGCUUAGCCUAUCCUUAAUGAAACACUAUGUGUUCCAGAUAUUUAAAGCUGUCAUUUUCAACCAGGGACAAUUUUGUCCUCCAGGGGGCACUUGGCAAUGGCUAGAGACAUUUUUGGUCGUCACAAGUGGGGACGGUGGUGGUUCUAUUAGCUUCUAAUGGAUAGAAGUCAGCCUUGCUGCUAAACGUUCCUACAACG